UUCAAAUAGGCCAUUUAGGAUAUAAAUGGGUUGAGUUUCAUAAUAUUAUUUGACGGAGAUAGGUAUCACAUUCAGCAAGGGGAAGUACAGUGCUAAAGUGACUUUCUAGAGAGUUAGAUUUACUCAAUUCACAAAAGAUAGUAUUGAUUUGCUCUUGGUACAAACGCAGGGAGGUAGUAGACAGGUUAGAUUCCAACCACGAUUUGGGAACCUUUUGGCAUGUUCUACAGGAAAUAUUAUAAAUAUAUUUGAUGUGGAGACUAACAACGUCCAACUACAGUUACAAGGAUAUGUCGGAGAUGUCCGUUCAAUGUGUUGGGAUAUGAGCGGGAAUUUUCUGGCAUCCGUGAGCGAGGAUAGUGCACGGAUAUGGUGUGUUAGCGGAAGAAAGUGUUUACAUGAAUUGCGUUCCAGUGGCAAUCAGUUCCAGUCAUGCACUUUCCACCCUGACCGCGCUCAAAUCUUGGCGAUUGGUUCUUAUGAGGUAUGCUUAACAGAAUUUCUGCUGAAGCUUUGAGCUCAUAGAUAGGUUCUCUGUAAACUUGGCUUGAUUAAUGCCUUUAUAUAGUUGCACAACAACACAUGUAACCUAGGAUUAUUCACAUGAAUCACAUGUAACCAUCUCAAAACUUGUUUCAGAUAAUUUUUUUAGAUGAUCCUAGAUUCUUUUGAUAUUCCUAUGAUAUUUUAUAGGAAUCAGUUUAUUUGUCA